GCAAAUACACUGAUAGCUGAGUGGGUAAAGCACUUACAGCUAUAUACCGAAAGUCGAUGGUUCGAUUCCAUCCUGGAAUUUUAUUUGUA